rnacentral:lncRNA from 1 species
GUCGUGUUUUGCUCAAAAAUUAAACGUAUUUACGGUAUGUUUGUCCUAAAAAACCUAAUUAAACACGACAUUUUUCUCCCAUUUGUAAGUUCUCCUCUUCUCAAUUCACUGCGCCUCCUGUUGUUCAUUUUCCCCCCAUCAACCCUGCGCUUCCUAUGCUGCCACCAAUACACCACAGCCACCAUCCUUGACUCCGCCUCUCCACGACUUCGCUCGGCGCCUCAGCUCUCACUCUCCACCUUCCACCGCCAACCACGGGUGCUAGCUCUCACUCUCGUCGCUAGCCUCCCACGACCCAAAUCAAAAUAUUUCUGUAAGGUAAGGAUUCUUCAAAUUAAUACCCGCCCCUAUCUUGAUAGGGGUCUAGUUUCUAGAAGGAAUUGUAUGAUUUAAGCUAUUGAAUGAGUUAACAUGAAUCAGAUUAAUACCUAAAAUCAGAUUAUUGUUUGGCUAUUUCCUGAUUCGUUAUGUCAUUCGACUUGAUAAUGAAAUUAAUUUUCGUAUUAUUGUAUUUUUCUAUAUGGAGUUUGAAAUAUUUUCUGUUGAUCAAAUUUUUGAUUUUGAGUGUUUUGUAAGGUUAUAUUUUGGUUGUAAAUGUUGGCUGUGUUGUUUGAUUUUUGAAUGAAUUAAAUUUAGGUGUUUUCAGUUAUAUUUCAUUGUUGUUUGGCAUUGUAUUGAUGUGUAUAUUUAUAAAAUCCAGUGAUUUAGUUCCCUUUAUGAUUUGAUUUUUUCUUUACAAUUGUGUUUUUAUUUGCUGGAGAAUAGGAGACAAAAUUAGAUAACUGCUUUAUGUUUUCUGCUAUUCCUUGUUACGGGGAUUUUUUUUUUAUAGUAGUGCCUUGUGAUGAAACUUUUGAGUAUAUACUUGGGUUGUAUUAGUGAUGCUCAUUUUCUUCUUACAAUAAGCGAGAUAAAUAUAUUCCAUUUAUAGAUAUUUCACCGACUCUGCAAUGGAUUUUGUUUGUUGAUCCACUGUAUUCUGUGCUAUGUUUUUCAUAUUUUGCUGAAUGUUAUCUGCCAUUGUCACUAGGAAAUAAUGUUUAUGUUUUGAAGGCUGUUGAAGAUGCAUUCUUGCAUGGGCUUCCGACAUAAAACAGAAAAAGAAGCAUGAAUCAUUAAUUAGUUCAUAGAACUAUUGGUAGUUUUUUUUUUUUAGUUAAGGAAAAGCAUAUAUCAUGUUGAACCUCACCAAUAAUCAGUACAUACUCUGUAAUAAUCAGUUCAUCUCCUUGAUCAAUUGCAAUUGGUGGUAGCUGCAGUGAUGUCAAUUCCUUAUUUUAAGAUAAUUGAAAAUCUAUUCUCUGAUACCUCGGAUCCAGCACCUGGCAAGCCCGUGCUGGAUCCGUCGGAAGGAGUUUUUUCUGUUGGGAAUAAAUCAAGUUUUAAGGUUAUAUUACUGGUAUUUCGUUUUAAAUUCAGCCCUGACUUCUAGCUCAGUUGGUUGGAGCUUGUAUGUUUAUGUUGGAUGUUUUGUGUUCAAAUCCCCUUGCCAGCAAAAUUUAUUUUAUAAUGCUUUUAUUCUACAUUUUUUACAAAAAUUCAAUAGGAAGUGGAGCAAAGGAGUUUCGAACUCGGGUCCUAUUUGAUGGAGGUAUUGGAGCUUGACCAUUACGCUACUUGUGGAUUGCUAUCUUUGUGUUUAACAAAGUAAUAUUUAUUAGGUUUUAUUUUGUUUGCAAGUACAAUUGCAAAGAUAUGAACCCAUGCUUUUCCUUUAAAUUAUAUAAAAUUUGGCAACAAUGACAUUCGAUAAGUUCAAUUUAUUCUUAUAAGAAAAUUAUAUAUAUUCAAUUUGAACAAAGUAACUGUUAUAUUUAAACUUUAGACCCUUGUUUGAUUUUCAUUUUUUUCAAAAUAUUUUUUCUCUUCUUUUUAACUACACAUUUUUCAAUAAAAUAAUGUUACACACAAAUUCAAAACUUCUAUUUAUUUUUAGCUGCACAUUCUCCAUCAAAUCACCAUUUCAAAAUGUAUUUUUUUGUAAAAAAAUGCAAUAAAUAAAUAAAUGAUAUCAAAUAGACUCUUAAUAUUUUAUUGCGGCUGAACGGUCGAUGACCGCCCGUGCUGGGUUGAACUUCUGGAUUCGCCACUGUGUGUGUAUAUAUAUAUAUAUAUAUAUAUAUAUAUGUAUUGGUUAUAUUUGUAUGUAUAUAUGGUGAGCUCUUUCUGUGGAGACAAAAGUGAGAGGGGGGAAGAAAAUGGGAACCUUCUCUUUCUAGGGUUAUCCCUCUCACCUAUUGGAGAGAACUUUUUUAUAUACGUUACAGAUUGAUAAUUUGUGAUUUGUGAUAAUGUGUGAAUCUGUGAUAAUUUGAAAUUAGAAUGAAUUUGCUACUUGUUUUCCUUUGUAAUUAUGAAUCUUCAUGCUUUGUUGCUUAUAAUUGACAGGAGUGGCUUUUAGUUAUAUUUGAAGACAUUGCAUGAGAAAAAGCACUGCACUUUGCAUGCCUGUCCCUCUUUGAUCACAUCGCACACUGUUUGUGUGUGGGAGAGGGAAAGAAAUUGCACAGGCAAAAAACAAGAUAAUAAAUGAAGAAAAGCUUAAUCAAACACUCCAGUGAAGUUACAAAAACAACCCAUGUAUUAUCAUAACUUUUUUUGAUUUUUUAGCUUUUGAUAUCACGUGCUUCUUUCUUUAUACCAAAUUAUAAAAAUAUUAACUCAUCAUUCCACUAUGUUGAAUAUCUGUUAAAGUAGUUCCCUUGAUGCUUGACAUCAAAGCUCCAUUUAAUCAUUUUCAGAGGGCUCUUGGAUUCAUAAAAUAAACCGAUUGGGUUUUCAGAUAGCUCUCUCAGAUUUCUCAUUUGUUGGUUAGUCUUUGUGCUUUUUUCUAGGGCAUCAUGAAGUUCCAUUAAAAUGGGUAGAUUAAAUUCCCAGGACUUAGAUUUUCAGCUCGUUGUAUUAAAUUUAAAGAAUUAUGUUUUCUAUUUACACUUCCCUUGUACCAAUUGUAGUACAUGGGAUUUCUAAUUUUUGAAGAUCUGCACUGGUGGUCAUAAAGAUUGGUGUCUUUUUUUCUUUUCUUUUCGUCGAGUGUUUGCAGAGAGAUUCUACUAUAAUGGAAUUUAGUCCAGUACCUUAUGUUUACUUCUGGGAUCUGAAUUUCAAUCUGAUAAGUACUUUUUUCUCUGUGGAUAUUUCAGUCAAUUGCUAAGUUUCUGUAGAUGGGCGAGUUUCAAAUCCAAAAUUAGACCUUUGUUUUCCUUAUCUUAAUUUCACAAUUCAUUAGGCAAAUAAUGUUACAAUUCAGGUCCUCCUAGCAUUCUUGCUUCUAUGGGUUAACACUUUUAACUGGCCAUUGAUUACCAUUGAGUGGAACUUGAUCACUGACAUGUGAUGGAAUUUCAGGUACAGGCAGCUUACAAAUAAGCAUUGUUGAAGUCUCACCCAAAUCGAGCUCUGCAGUCGUGGUUGGAAAGCAUUCUUUUGUUUGUAAAAUAACUUAUUGGUGUUGGUUGAACUUAUAUCUGUUGGUUGAGGAAAUAGAAAGUAUUUGUUACAUUAGUUGGUACAUUUUAUUUAUAUAUGAUAAAUGUUUGUGCUAAUUUUUUCAUCUUUAAGCUUAGAAUAAUUAAUAAGUUUAAUGUUGUUUAUCAUGCCAG